AACGAACGCUGGCGGCAUGCCUAACACAUGCAAGUCGAACGAAACCUUCGGGUCUGGUGGCGCACUGGUGCGUAACGCGUUGGAACCUGCCCUUAAGUUUGCAAGAACUCCCCGAAAGGGGUGCUAAUACGGGAUAAUAUCUUCGGUCCGAAGAUUGAUCGCCUGUGGAUGGUCCCGCGUUGUAUUAGCUAGUGGUUAGCGUAAAAGCAUAUCAAGGCGAAGAUACAUAGCUGGUAUGAGAGGAUGAUCCGCGACACUGGUACUGAGCAGCGGCCCAGAAUACUACGGGAGGGAGCAGUGGGGAAUCCUGGCAAACGGGGGAAAGGAUGAAGCAGCACUGAUGGGUGAGUGAUUAAGGGUUUAGGGUUGUAAAGUUAUUUUAUACGGGACGAUAAUGACAGUACCGGGAGAAUAAGCACCGGCUAACUUCGUG
rnacentral:rRNA from 1 species